UUCUCCUUUGUCUAAAAUGAAACAACUCACUUCCAUGUCAACGCCGGACGCAGGUGCCGCUGUUUUGGAAGAAAGUAGUUAAUACAGUGAUCUAAGCUCUCAAUCCUUGGUUCCUCCAUGGGGAGUGUCUUGCAAAGACAGCAUUUCUACAAUUUCUUGAAUUGCUGUGAAAUUACUGAACUGUGUGACAUCUCCUUAGAUUCUCUCUAGGCUGUAUUU